rnacentral:rRNA from 1 species
GUGCCAGCCGCCGCGGUAAGACGAACCGUGCAAACGUUGUUCGGAAUCACUGGGCUUAAAGGGCGCGUAGGCGGGGGACCAAGUCCGGGGUGAAAUCUUUCGGCUCAACCGGAAAACUGCCUUGGAUACUGGUUCUCUUGAGGGAGGUAGGGGCAGGUGGAACUUCCGGUGGAGCGGUGAAAUGCGUUGAUAUCGGAAGGAACGCCGGUGGCGAAAGCGGCCUGCUGGAUCUCUUCUGACGCUGAUGCGCGAAAGCUAGGGUAGCGAACGGGAUUAGAAACCCGCGUAGUCC